rnacentral:rRNA from 1 species
UAAUGUUUGAUGUUCUAACGUGGACCCGUGAUCCGGGUUGCGGACAGUGUCUGGUGGGUAGUUUGACUGGGGCGGUCUCCUCCUAAAGAGUAACGGAGGAGCACGAAGGUUGGCUAAUCCUGGUCGGACAUCAGGAGGUUAGUGCAAUGGCAUAAGCCAGCUUGACUGCGAGCGUGACGGCGCGAGCAGGUGCGAAAGCAGGUCAUAGUGAUCCGGUGGUUCUGAAUGGAAGGGCCAUCGCUCAACGGAUAAAAGGUACUCCGGGGAUAACAGGCUGAUACCGCCCAAGAGUUCAUAUCGACGGCGGUGUUUGGCACCUCGAUGUCGGCUCAUCACAUCCUGGGGCUGAAGUAGGUCCCAAGGGUAUGGCUGUUCGCCAUUUAAAGUGGUACGCGAGCUGGGUUUAGAACGUCGUGAGACAGUUCGGUCCCUAUCUGCCGUGGGCGCUGGAGAACUGAGGGGGGCUGCUCCUAGUACGAGAGGACCGGAGUGGACGCAUCACUGGUGUUCGGGUUGUCAUGCCAAUGGCACUGCCCGGUAGCUAAAUGCGGAAGAGAUAAGUGCUGAAAGCAUCUAAGCACGAAACUUGCCCCGAGAUGAGUUCUCCCUGACCCUUUAAGGGUCCUGAAGGAACGUUGAAGACGACGACGUUGAUAGGCCGGGUGUGUAAGCGCAGCGAUGCGUUGAGCUAACCGGUACUAAUGAACCGUGAGGCUUAACCUU